rnacentral:rRNA from 1 species
GACAGAGGAGCCAAGCGUUGUCCGGAUUGACUGGGCGUAAAGCGCACGCAGGCGGGUGCGCGCGUGGGGUGUGAAACCUGGCCGGCUUAACGGCCAGCGGCCAUCCCAUACGGCGCGCCUGGAGCCUUGCAGAGGGCGGUGGAAUUGCCGGUGUAGUGGUGAAAUGCGUAGAUAUCGGGAGGAACACCAGUGGCGAAGGCGACUUCCUGGCCUGUUCUUGACGCUGAGGCGCGAAAGCUAGGGGAGCAAAC